UACGUAGGGUCCAAGCGUUAUCCGGAAUCACUGGGCGUAAAGCGUGCGUAGGUGGUUUGUUAAGUGCAAUGCGAAAUCCUGUGGCUCAACCAUAUGGACUGUAUUGCAUACUGGCAACUAGAGGACAUGAGAGGCAAGUGGAAUUACCGGUGUAGCAGUGAAAUGCGUAGAGAUCGGUAGGAACACCAAUGGCGAAGGCAGCUUGCUGGCAUGACCCUGACGCUAAGGCACGAAAGCGUGGGGAGCGAACAGG
rnacentral:rRNA from 1 species